GUCACUGACCCAUUUCCACUGCUGCUCUCUCAUCUGCUGCUCUGAAGCCUAAACCAUGGUGCCCAGAAUCUUCGAUGCAACUCAUGAGAAGCUGGAGGACCUGGAGAAGCUGGCAACUCAAAAAGGCCAAAGGGUGCAGACAAUAAAAGCCCCAGACAAGCGUAUAGAACCACACGCCGUCUUUUUACUUGCCGACUGCCAUAAUCAAGGGCACCAGAGGGGUGGCUUGAACAGGAGAAAUUCAGUUCCUCACAGUUCUGGAAGCCAGAAGUAUGAGAUCAAGGUGUUGGCAGGAUGGUUUCUUCUGAGGGUCUAUCUCUUGGCUUAUCCAUGGCCAACUCCUCCCUGUGUCUUCACAUGGCCUCUGUGUGUGUGUCUGUGCCCUAAUAUCCUCUUCUUAUAGGGACACCAGUCAGCUUGGAUUAGGUCCUGCUCAUAUGACCUCAUUUUACCGUAAUCGCCUUUUCAAAGACCUUAUCUCCAAAUACAGUUAUAUUCAGAGAUACUGGGGUUAGGACUUCAACACAUGAAUUUUGCGGGAGACAUAGGUCAUCCCAUAUUAAUGCCCAAACAAAAUUUAUUACUUCACAUAGUCAUGCCCCAAAUGAAAAUUAAACAACCCAAAAUUAAAUAGAAUUUUUAAAUUUCAUCAUUUCUUUAUUAUUAUUAUUAUUAUUUUUUGAGAUGGAGUCUCACUCUGUUGCCCAGGCUGGAGGACAGUGGCAUGAUCUCAGCUCACUACCAGCGCCACCUCCUGGGUUCAUGCCAUUCUCCUGCCUCAGCUCCUGAGUAGCUGGGACUACAGGCGCCCGCCACCACACCCGGCUCCUUUUUUGUAUUUUUAGUAGAGACGGGGUUUCACCAUGUUAGCCAGAAUGGUCUUGAUCUCCUGACCUCGUGAUCUGCCUGCCUCAGCCUCCCAAAGUACUGGGAUUACAGGCAUGAGCCACCAUGCCCAGCCGAUUUCUUUGUUUCUUUUUUUUUUUUUUACUAUUAAUGUUAUUUUUUAUGAGAGAGAGCACGCCAAGUAUUGCUAUAAAUAUUAGGAUUAAUUCUAUUGAUGUGCUUCAUGAUCAUGUAUAUUUUAUGAAGAUUUAUUAGAUCAAAAAUUACAAGAUUUAUCUUAAAGUAAUCACUCUUAUAUUAACUGUAUAUUUUAGCACUGUUUUUAUCUAUUGGAAUAUUUUCAUAGCUAUAGUUAUUAAAAUUCACCAUAAUCAUUAAUUAGAGCCAUAAUUACACUUUUAUAAUAAAUAUACAUUUAUACUUUAACCGAUGGAUAAAACAUCAACCUAAAUAUCCAAAAGGAAAUUUUUAAUCAAGUGACUUCUAGGAGGGUGUCUGUUCUGACGGUGGCUAUUCAGGAACAAAGAGCAAAUCUGAAGAAAAGGCCUGGUUCCCACUCUGGCCACACCUGUUGCCACACUGAUGGGAUGUGCUGAUCACAGCAAGAUCACAGUCAGGAUAAGUGUGGGGCCAGCAAUGGCCUUGCUCAAGGCACUUUGUGCUUAGGACACGUGACAGCCUGUGUGGUGUGUGUGUGUGUGUGUGUGCGUGUGUGUGUGUGUGUGUUUGCUUCUGUUUUUCUGUGGGUAAAUACAUGACCCAGAAAUUUCUCAAAAUAAGUUUAUUCUUACUACAUAAGAUCCACUCCAUCACAGCUCUUUGUGUUCUGCUUUCUUGUUUAUUGGAUACCUCUUCAGGCCCAGGGCGGCUCAUGGAGGAGACAGGGACUCUCCCCAGGUCGAAGGCCCAAGGCCUGGAUGAUGGGGUGGGGCCCAGGAUGGGUGCCAGGGGUCUGGAGGACAUGAGUGGAUGAAGGCCCCGGGCUUCAGCUUCCUCUUGGUGGAAUGUGGGUGAUGAGGUCCGACCAUGCAGCGCUGCUGUGAGGACCGGAUGAGAGGAUCCCUGGGAGGUGGCCGGUGACUUGGUACCGUCACCUCAGUGACUGUUCUUCGUCCUCAUGGAUGUUCAGAGAAGACUUGCCCACUCUCUCCACCAGAUACAACCAAUAAAACCUCUGAAAAUUUCAGCCGAACUUUAUAGCACUUUCAUUCUUUUCCAAUUUAUUUGACGCUAUUUAAAUCAGACCUAGUGAUUCUGGGAUGCCUGAGAUUCCUGUCCCUUAGAAGGGACGUCAGGUGCCUUCUGUGCGCACACGUGGCAUUUGGGCGGGAACCCAGAGCCCCGACUCUGGGCUUGUUGGACUGAGAUCCAAGGAGGGAUUCACUACAUUGGUGUAAGGUGCGGUCUGUGUUUCAGAUUCUUGUGCCAGAUGAGGUGAUGCUUUGAUGUCAAUACCUCGUGUUGGGGGAAGGUUGGGGAUCUGGACCAGUGGUCUAGGGGGCCUGUAUGGGGCAGGACCCAGACACCUGAGGAUUCCAGGUUUAAGAAGGGCGGGGCUGAGCGAGG
rnacentral:lncRNA from 1 species